rnacentral:rRNA from 1 species
AACGAACGCUGGCGGCAGGCCUAAUACAUGCAAGUCGAGCGCUCUAGCAAUAGAGAGCGGCGCACGGGUGCGUAACGCGUGGGAAUGUACCUCUAGGUGCGGAACAACGUCGGGAAACUGACGCUAAUACCGCAUAAUAUCUCCGGAUCAAAGAUUUAUCGCCUAGGGAUCAGCCCGCGUUGGAUUAGCUAGUUGGUGAGGUAAUGGCUCACCAAGGCGACGAUCCAUAGCUGGUCUGAGAGGAUGAUCAGCCACACUGGGACUGAGACACGGCCCAGACUCCUACGGGAGGCAGCAGUAAGGAAUAUUGGACAAUGGAGGAAACUCUGAUCCAGCCAUGCCGCGUGAGUGAAGAAGGCCU